CUUGCUAUAGCGCAGUGGGUAACGCGCUAGCCUUAUGUGCUCGAGGUCACAAGUUCAAUCCCCCGCUAAGA